rnacentral:lncRNA from 1 species
GAGUCAGUGCUCAAUGUAAACCGUUAACGAUCACAUCGCCUCAUCUCGUGAAACACCCACCCACUCUCUCCCAAAAAAAUUAAAUGGGAUGAGGGGGUGGCGCUCGAGGUGGUUUUUGCAGCUUUAAACGCGCUCCAAGCGCACCCUCUACGUAAUUCUACGUAACUUUGGAUGGUACCGAAGCUUUAAAGACCGCUUGGCUCUCCCAUUUUCCAACGCCCACCAAUCCACCCACCACUCAAGUGGAAGAACGAGAAUGGCAUGGACAAGGACAUGGCAAUCAUGGAGAUGGAGGACCAAACAGGACCGGGCUGGAGGAAAGUGCAAUGGUGACUUGGCGGGACACAAGAACUCGAACUGAAGACUCCGAUUCGAGUGCGUUUUCCCCAAGGUCAACACCCCCACAACGUCAUGUGCAAUAUAUUAGCUAAUUUGUUGUUAACUAAUAUUGUUAUUAAUCCAUUUGUUGUUGGUUUCACGUUCCUGGAACGUUUACUGUGAUUGUUAACCCCUUCAAAGUUGAGAUUUAGUUGUUAAGCCACUGUUAUGUUUGAAUCAUCAGAUAUUGUUAUUGAUAAGAAAAGCAACAUCAUCGCGUAUGUCUUCCAAUACCGUUAAGUGCAAUCUAGCUUGUAAGAAAAUUAGUUUUUCCUUUGUUGAAAUAAAUCAGCUCUUCAUGGGAAGACU